UAAGUCUGCUUACGAUGCUUUCCUAGUAGAGAAUUAGGUAUUUUACUUAUUGAGCCGGAAACGGAGAAAGUGAAAUACCACUACUUUUAACGUUAUUUUACUUAUUCUGUGAAACAGAGGCGGGGCAAUGCCCCUUCUUUUAGAACUAAGGUUUACGCAUGCGCGCCGAUCCAGGUGGAAGACAUUAUCAGGUGGGGAGUUUGGCUGGGGCAGCACAUCUAUUAAAAGAUGACGCGGGUGUCCUAAGAUGAGGUUAACGAGAACAAAAAUCUCGUGUAGAAAAAAAGGGGUAAAAACACGUUUAAUUAUGAUUUUCAGUACGAAUACGAACCCUGAAAGCGUGGCCUAUCGAUCCUUUAGAUCUUCAGAAUUUGAAGCUAGAGGUGUCAGAAUAGUUACCGCAUGGAUAACUAGCUUGUGGUAGCCAAGCAUUCAUAGCUACAUUACUUUUUUAUCCUUCGAUGUUGUCUCUUCCUAUCAUUGUGAAGCAGAAUUCACCAAGUGUUGGAUUGUUCACCCCCUAAUAGGGAACAUGAGUUAGGUUUAGAUUGUCAUGAGAUAGGUCAGUU
rnacentral:ncRNA from 1 species